UACGGAGGGGGGCUAGCGUUGUUCGGAAUUACUGGGCGUAAAGCGCGCGUAGGCGGCUUUGUAAGUUAGAGGUGAAAGCCCGGAGCUCAACUCCGGAAUUGCCUUUAAGACUGCAUCGCUAGAAUCAUGGAGAGGUGAGUGGAAUUCCGAGUGUAGAGGUGAAAUUCGUAGAUAUUGGGAAGAACACCGGUGGCGAAGGCGGCCAUCUGGACCGCAACUGACGCUGAGGCGCGAAAGCGUGGGGAGCAAACAGG
rnacentral:rRNA from 1 species